AUUGAACGCUGGCGGCAUGCCUUACACAUGCAAGUCGAACGGCAGCGGGGGAGAAGCUUGCUUUUCCUGCCGGCGAGUGGCGAACGGGUGAGUAAUACAUCGGAACGUGCCCUGUAGUGGGGGAUAACUAGUCGAAAGAUUAGCUAAUACCGCAUACGACCUGAGGGUGAAAGUGGGGGACCGCAAGGCCUCAUGCUAUAGGAGCGGCCGAUGUCUGAUUAGCUAGUUGGUGGGGUAAAGGCCUGCCAAGGCGACGAUCAGUAGCUGGUCUGAGAGGACGAUCAGCCACACUGGGACUGAGACACGGCCCAGACUUCUACGGGAGGCAGCAGUGGGGAAUUUUGGACAAUGGGCGAAAGCCUGAUCCAGCAAUGCCGCGUGUGUGAAGAAGGCCUUCGGGUUGUAAAGCACUUUUGUCCGGAAAGAAAUGGCUCUGGUUAAUACCUGGGGUCGAUGACGGUACCGGAAGAAUAAGGACCGGCUAACUACGUGCCAGCCGCCGCUGUAA
rnacentral:rRNA from 1 species